rnacentral:lncRNA from 1 species
GAUUGUUGAUCAUAAUAAGGAAACACAAACAAAAGUUGUAGUAUAAUAAAAAAUUUGCAUGAAUGAAUGUAAAAAGUAAUUUUUUUUCUUCAGAUCUGAUAGCAGUGUUUCUUGUAAAAGAAGAAGAAUAUGAUUAUUUUUUUAAUCCAAAACAAAACAAAGGUACAAGACAAGAUGUUGCCCCUUCUUUUUUGGGUUCUUUCACCGAGAGAGAAUUGUUUUUCUUGAUAUGAAAU